GCACCGGUGGUGCAUGGUGGAUUCCUCAUAUAAUUCGGGGAUACAAUAGCCAUGAUUGAGGUGGUACGGGGUUGGAUUCCCCGCCGGUGCC